UUGAAAUACGAACUCAAUAACAUAAGGUAUACUGUCUACAUUUCAUAUUCAUCUUAUUCUUUUGUGUAAGCAUAUAUAUGAUGUAAACUUCUUUUUCAGAGAGAGAGAGAGAGAGAGAGAGAGAGCUACAUAAGUAUUAUUUUCUUGGUAACAUAUUUUGAUAACUAUAAUACAUGUACAUGUAGAUCUAGAUAUGAUUUACAAUGUAUCUAUUGAUCAAACCAAACAACACACAAAAAGAAAAGAAAGAAAAAAGAAACACAAUCGUAUUUGAUGAAAAAGUACCUAUAGACCUACAUGUAUAUACUGAUCAUGCAUAUGAGUUUUCACAUAUUCUCUGCCAGUGAAUUUCAUAAUCAUCAUGUCUACAGUUUCUUAGCAGCAAGUACUUCUCAACCACAAUUCUGUUCGUAACUAUUUUUCUAAUCGCAGAUAUAUGUACUUGCGGACUAUUUUGAUAUUUACAAGAAAAUAUAUAUUGUUUUACUACAAGCAAAUCAAAUUUUGAAUGUCUAACUGUUGAUUUUUAUUAUACAUUUGUAGAAUCAAUAUUUUAUUUUUACUGACAUGCAUCCCGACUGAGAUAUUAAUUAUAGAAAAAGAAACUUAAGCAAUUACUUGAAUUUAGUAUGUAGUUCCUGUGUUUCAUCUAUCAUCUAAGGAUUUCAACGGUUUAGUUCAGUAAAAAUUGAGACUCCAGUAGUUAAGAAACCACUUUAAAUGAAAGUAGAUGGCUGAGGGGCACACGUACAUGUACAUGUGUUUACAAAUAUCCUUGACAAUUGCGAGGCGAAAUUAAUGUGUUGCUAAGAAAAAAGCAGUUCAUUCUUCAAAACAUUUCCAUGUAUUUGGUUAUCUCACAUGCAGAAUGUCCAGUCUUGUAUAUACCAUUGCUUUAUAGCUCAUAUUGUGAGAACAGAGAAAAGUCGGGCAGAAGAGGGGCACCUUAUAAUACCCCAUAAAGAUGCAGAAGAAAGUUUGUGUGACUGUAUGCUACACCGGUAUUGAGUUUAUUUCAUGAUUUUUAGACCUCUAAUAAACGUAAACUUUUCAUUAUAAUACAACAUAAAGCACAUUACAGAUUAUUUACAUUUAAAAUUGUAAACAAAGGGCGGCCAUUUUGAACUUAGAGUCGCAGGGACGCUAUUUAAAAAAAUCCUAUGAUAUAGAAAAACGAUGCAGAAAUUUAACACAUGCAUGAUUUUUUAAAUUCAGACGUUUGUGAAACAAUUUACACACAAAAUAAAUUAUAUAUCUAUAAAAGUAUGUUUUCCCAUAAAUCCUCUCCUGAUCGCUGAUUGGUUGUAAUUUUCGGCGGGCAAAAUUGAUUGUUGUUUGUGAGAGAAAACCUAGCGUGACUCAAAUGGAACCAUGUCAUGUUUUGAUUGAAUGGAAGAUCCAAAGAUUUUUCUGAGAAUAGGAGACGUCUACUGUUGUUGGGCAUCAUUCAGGUAUUUCCGGUGUUGACUUGAAACGUUUUUAUUCACGAUGUUGCGGAUUCAUCAUUGCAUUUGCAUGGGGUAGUGCAUAUGUUGUGUGUGGCCUUCUAAACGAUAAAUCUAUGGAUUAAAGGAUGAACAGGUCGAUGCAGGAAUAUUCAUUCUAAUGAUAAGGAAAUACGAAAUGCAAGGACAACCUCUAAGCAUGCAGUAUGCCUUAGAUCUAUACAAUGGUGGAAUGUUCCAAACUAGAUGAGCAGAAGAUGCAUUCCAUGACUGACUCCCCAUAUGAUAUGAAAGAGAGUCCAUGAGAAUGGAACCAACUUUCAGUGUUACAAUGGAUGAACACUCCUCCUGUCACAAGUCCAUCUUGAUUCAGUAAAGUGGUAGUCUAUUUAUCUAGGAAGCAACAAGACGGAUCUGGACAAGGACCAUAUUGACUCAAGUUUUGGUGUCAGAAGACCAUUUUGAUUAAACAUGUUAAAAGCACCACAGAAGUAAGAAGCUAGGACACCAGUUUUAUGUGAGCAUACCAUUUAAGGAUUCAUUACUGAACAGUUGAAGGAUAGUCACUAUGACAAGAAAAUGGAACAAUUGUAAUGAGCAUUGGGGUCCAUGUAUUUAGAGCUUUCCAUUUUUCUGUUGAAAGUCAUAUUGAUAUUGUUCUGUUUAUUAUUUUUUCUUACCAUCAAAAUGCUAUCACUCUUUAAGACAUAUUGAAACACUUUAUAGCUCACCUGAACCGAAGGCUCAAGUGAGCUUUUCUGAUCACAUUUUGUCCGUCGUCCAUCUGUAAACUUUUCACAUUUUCGACUUCUUCUCCAGAAGCACUGGGCCAAUUUCAACCAAACUUGGCCAAAAGCAUCCUUGGGUGAAGGUCUUUCCAGUUUGUUCAAAUGAAGGGUCAUGUCCCUUUCAAACGGGAGAUAAUACAAAAAAUGCAAAAAUAGGGUGGGGUCAUUUAAAAAUCUUCUUCUCAUGAACCACUGGGCCAGAAGAGCUGAAAUUUACAUGAAAGCUUCCUGACAUAUCGCAGAUUCACGUUUGUUCAAAUCAUGGCCCCUGGGGAUAGGAUGGGGCCACAAGGGGGGAUCAAAGUUUUACAUACAAAUAUAUAGGGAAAAACUUUAAAAAUCUUCUUCUCAAGAACCACUAAGCCAGAAAAGCUGAGAUUUACAUGAAAGCUUCCUGACAUAAUGCAGAUUCAAGUUUGUUCAAAUCAUGGGCCCCGGGGGUUGAAUGGGGCCACAAUAGGGGAUCAAAGUUUUACAUACAAAUAUAUAGGAAAAAUCUUUAAAAAUCUUCUUCUCAAGAACCACUGAGCCAGAAAAGCUGAUUUUUACAUGAAAACUUUCUGACAUAGUGCAGAUUCAACUUUGUUCAAAUCAUGGGCCCCAGGGGUUGGAUGGGGCCACAAUUGGGAAUCAAAGUUUUACAUACAAAUAUAUAGUUAAGAUCUUCUUCUCAAUAACCACUGAGUCAGAAAAGCUGAUAUUUACAAGAAAACUUUCUGACAUGGUGCAGAUUCAAGUUUGUUCAAAUCAUGGCCCCCGGGGGUAAGAUGGGGCCACAAGUCGGGGAGGGUCAAAGUUUUACAUACAAAUAUAGGAAAAAUCUUUCAAAAUCUUCUUCUCAAGAACCAUUGGGCCAAAGAAGUUGACAUUUACAUGAAGGCUUUCUGACGUAGUGUAGAUUCAAGUUUGCAAAAAUCGUAGCCUCCAGGGGUAGUUGGGGCCAUAAUUGGAACUAAGGUUUUACAUGCAAAUAUAUAUGGAAAGUCUUCAAAUAUGGGCCAAGGUGACUCAGGUGAGCGAUGUGGCCCAUGGGCCUCUUGUUAGUUCAUAAUACAAUGCUUUUUGAGAAAUAAUCAGAUAUCAACCUACAUACUUGAAUUUUGAAUCUGAUCCUUGUUUUUAUUACUUUUCUCUAACUUUAAAUUCUAUGAACAUCAAACAUUUGCUAAACACUGACUUGCUUUAAAAAAAACUUAUUGCUAUUCUUAGUUACUAAAUCGAAAGAUACAGAGACACAAAACAUUUACUCAUGAAUUCACUUUAAAAAAAAAUCCAGUGAGAGAUCAAUCAAAGGGAUCUGAAGACCCUUAAACCUGGUUAUUGUCCUUGAAUGUCUGCAGUUUUUUUGUUUGAGCACUAGCUUUUCUCAAAUACAGUAGAUGUUUUAUGACCUUGAAUUCUUGUCAACUCCAGUUACCAUCCCAUUAAUUUUAUGUUUUGACUUGAAUAUCUUUGAUACUAUUACAUGUACUCAGUUUAGGUUUUCUUAAUUAUGGUUCUUACUCUUUUGACCUUGAAUUUAGGGUCAAAGGUCAAGGCCAUACAUAUAUUUUCUAAUGUUUGCAUUUUUCAAACAAAUUGAGCAUUUUAAAUCAAAGUCACCUCUCUUUUACAAAGCACUAUGAUACGAUCUCUUAGAGGUUGUGUUUAGUCCCCUACCGACAAAAUGGAAAGGGACUUUAGGUUUGCACUCCGUCCGCCUGUCUGUCAGAUCAGUGUUAAGCACUUUUUGCUCUGUUCUUACAGAUAUACAUUUGAUAUUUAGUACAUUGCUUUGCCAUAACAAGUUACAAAUCUAGUUUGAAUUUUAUCUCAGUCCGUUGUACAUCAAACUUGGUGCUCAAGUACAUUGUAAGGAGUAAGUGACCUCCAUUGAUUUUGAUGUAGCAUGGUCAAAGAUCAAGUGUCAAACUGGACACAGGAAUACACCUUCUACUCAAUAUCUUGAAAAUCGUUUGUUUGACAGACAUCAAACUUAGUACACCGGUACAUCCUAAAAUGAAGAUGACCCUUAGUGAUUUUGAGGUGACAUGGUCAAAGGUCAAACUGGACAUAGGAAGAUACUGACCACUCAAUAUCUUGAGAACUCUUUGCUUGACAGACAUCAAACUUGGUACAUUGGUACAUCUUAAGAAGUAGAUGACCCUUAGUGAUCUUGAGGUCACAUGAUCAAAGGUCAAACUGGACAUAGGAAGAUACUGACCACUCAAUAUCUUGAGAACUUUUUGCUUGACAGACAUCAAACUUGGUACACUGGUACAUCUUAAGAAGUAGAUGACCUGUAGUGAUUUCGAAAUCACAUGGUCAAAGGUCAAACUGGAAAUAGGAAGAUACUGACCACUCAAUAUCUUGAGAACCCUUUGCUUGACAGACAUCAAACUUGCUACACUGGUACAUCUUUAGAUAAAUGACCCUUAGUGAUUUUGAGGUCACAUGGUCAAAGGUCAAACUGGACAUAGGGAGGUACUGUCCACUCAAUAUCUCGAGAACCCUUUGCUUGACAGACAUCAAACUUGAUACACUGGUACAUCUUAAGAAGCAGAUGACUCCAAAGGAUUUUGAGGUCACAUGGUCAAAGGUCAAACUGGACAUAGACAAUACUGACCACUCAAUAUCUUGAGAACCCUUUGCUUGACAUACAUCAAACUUGGCACACUGGUACAGCAUAAGGAGAAGAUGACCCCUAAUGAUUUUAAGGUCAAAGGUCAAGGGUUAAACUGUACAUAGUAAUAUAUUGUCUCCUAUACUUUAAGAAUUAUUUGAUUGAUUGACACUAAACUUGGUACACUGGCAAAGCAUAAUGAGUAGAUGACCCAUAUUGAUUUUUAGGUCACAUAGUCAAUCCACUCCUGACAUAGGAAGAUAUUGUCUUCUCAAUAUUUUUAAUUGGUGAUACUACUAUAAAAUUAGAUGAUGCAUGUGUAUAACCCUUUUCAAUUUUGCACCAUGGGGGCAUAUAUGUUUUACAAACAUCUCUUGUUUGGAUUUGAAUUAAUAGUUUUGAAAUUUUUGGAUUCUGUACUCAUUGAUGUUUGGGGAACAUCUUUAAAGAUCCCAAUUGAGAAUUAUAUAACAAUUUAUUUUCAUAGAAAUUAGGUUUGUGUAAAGGACAGUCAGAUAUAAUAUGAAAUUUACUGUAUAAAAAGAAGUGUUAGUACACAUGAUGUGUUAAACAAGAUACUGAGUGCUAGAAUGACAUUUCUUUGGAUUCUAUGUAGAAGUAUCCUAUAUACGAAUAUUGCUAGUAUAAGUUCACCAUAAGUAUUGUUAUAAUUCAUUGCACAUCUUUUUACAGAAACUAAAGAGUCGAAAGGCCCAGCUGGAGAGAAAUUCCCAUUUCUCGACCAAGGACAUAAAAAAAAAAAAGAUUAAAAAGGUGCUGACUAAGGAGGCAACGUCUCCAGAAGUAACGGAUGAUGAGGAAGCCACCCAGAGGAAGGUCUUACCAUUUAUAUGGGAGUCAUCCCUGCUGGGUAAUGUUAAGUGCGACCUGGACAGAGAGUAUGCUGAAUCUUUGCAACUUCAAUCAAAUAGACAAAAAGCCAAGGCCAUUAGAAGUAGAACGAAAAUGACUAUGACCCCACCACCUAGGAGCAUUCAAGAGUGGGCCGUUUCCUCUACUUAUAAAUGAUGCUAUUACUGUUAAUAGUUAUAUUUAAUUUCCUCAUUUCUAGCUCACCUGAGCCAAAGGCUCAAGGUCACAAUUAAUACUUUUAUACCAUUAUAACCAGUUUUUAUGAAAUUUUAAUAAUGCUGUUGAAGGAGAAUUGCAAUUUUUUGGAUGUUUAUAAUUGACACUGUUUAAGUAUGUCUAGCAUCUUAAAAAGUGAGAUGACCUAUAUAUUUCAUUUCAUAAUUUAUUAAUUUUAACUUAAAUUGAAAUAAAUGCAUUUUUGAUACUUUUAUCAGAGAAUAUUGCAAGUAUGGAGUUACCUUGAUAUAUUUAUACAGAUUUGUUCUGCUUUAGUACUAGUGUAUCAGUAUUAUUACAUCAAGUUCAUUUGUGUGAAUAUUAUAAUAUUUAAGAAUGAAUAAAACUGUCAAAUUGUG